GGUUCCUAGUGCAUCCAGCAGUCUAUGGUGGAAUGCAUGAAGCAGACACGUAAAUUGCUCCUUCUGGUCCGGUGCUCUGUGAGGGAGUCAAAGUGCAGUCAGUGGGAUUCCCAUCUGUCACCCUCACAGAGAGUCAGUACUGCGAGCGACUGCGUUCCACCAGAAACCACUAGGGAAUCUGCAGCUUGCAUUUUUCCCAGGACGAGCAGCAGUAUCAACAGUUACUUCGGCCCAUCCCACCUGGUAGUGCACACUAUCAGAUGUCCCUGUUGCCAUGUCACCCUGUGCGACCACACAGCUCGCACACCCCAAAGGCAAGUCCUGGUUAAAGUGAAGUGAAUAGGGAUGUGUCAGUUUUAGGUUUCAAUUCCCUCCUUAUUCUUUACUACUGAUGUUAUUCACUACAGACCAGAUUUUGUUUGGGUGAACAAACUCUGG